rnacentral:rRNA from 1 species
GGGGAAUAUUGCACAAUGGGCGCAAGCCUGAUGCAGCGACGCCGCGUGAGGGAUGACGGCCUUCGGGUUGUAAACCUCUUUCAGCAGGGAAGAAGCGAUGAGUGACGGUACCUGCAGAAGAAGCGCCGGCUAACUACGUGCCAGCAGCCGCGGUAAUACGUAGGGCGCGAGCGUUGUCCGGAAUUAUUGGGCGUAAAGAGCUCGUAGGCGGUCUGUCGCGUCCGCUGUGAAAGCCCGGGGCUCAACCCCGGGUCGGCAGUGGGUACGGGCAGGCUAGAGUGCAGUAGGGGAGACUGGAAUUCCUGGUGUAGCGGUGAAAUGCGCAGAUAUCAGGAGGAACACCGAUGGCGAAGGCAGGUCUCUGGGCUGUUACUGACGCUGAGGAGCGAAAGCAUGGGGAGCGAAC